rnacentral:rRNA from 1 species
CCUACGGGAGGCAGCAGUGAGGAAUAUUGGUCAAUGGACGAGAGUCUGAACCAGCCAAGUAGCGUGAAGGAUGACUGCCCUAUGGGUUGUAAACUUCUUUUAUAAAGGAAUAAAACGAGGCACGUGUGCCUUUUUGCAUGUACUUUAUGAAUACGGAUCGGCUAACUCCGUGCCAGCAGCCGCGGUAAUACGGAGGAUCCGAGCGUUAUCCGGAUUUAUUGGGUUUAAAGGGAGCGUAGAUGGGUUGUUAAGUCAGUUGUGAAAGUUUGCGGCUCAACCGUAAAAUUGCAAUUGAUACUGGCAGUCUUGAGUACAGUUGAGGUAGGCGGAAUUCGUGGUGUAGCGGUGAAAUGCUUAGAUAUCACGAAGAACCCCGAUUGCGAAGGCAGCUUACCAAACUGUAACUGACAUUGAUGCUCGAAAGUGUGGGUAUCAAACAGGAUUAGAUACCCCUGUAGUC